CGAAUUCUUUCAGCCGAAAUUCCACGCUUCAAUCAACGUUUUAAUUCUCGGUUAAUUCGUUGAUGUCUCGAUUAAAAAUAAAAUAUUGAACAAAUUAACACAUGUUAAUAAACAGUUGUAGACAAAGGAUAUAAAUGGCAGGCCACAAGCAUGAUUCUUAUAUUUAACAAUUGGUCGAGUUUAUAGUUCGUGGACCUCGCACCACAAAGAAAAUCGACAUGGUCCCUUCUGACUGGGUAUCUUUGAACAAAAAAACAGGCAAAAUUAUCACAAAAUUUAUGCCUCAACCGUAUACAGAGAAGAGAUGUGGUGUUUUGAAAAAUCUAGUAAAAGCUUUAGGUGAUCCUGUAGAUGACUGGCCACAAUUUAAUGUAAUUAUAAAAGGUGGUGCUAGGUCAUGUAAUGAAACUGAGAAACGUUUACAAACUCUACAAACCGAGGAAUAUGCGUUUUCUAUGGAAAGCGAUAUGACACCAAAAUAAAUUGCUCAAAAAGCAGUUCGUAAAAUAAAGCAAAAAAAGUUAAAAAUUAGUGCUGAAGCAGAAGCUGCUUUGCGCAAUGUCCCAGAUUUAAACUCUGAUAACGAAACAGAGAUAGAAAAUAUUGCAGCAAAUGCCAAUCAAAAAUCGUCAAUGAAUAAGACUCCAACGUACUCUGCAAUAAACUGAUAUCGAGAAAGAGAAUUUAUAAAAACUCCUGCUGUUUUAAAAAUCAAUAGUCGUACUGAGUAUUCCUUCCAAUUGGAAAAUAAGUUUGGAAACGGCAAGAGCGGUGCAAACAUCAAAUCAGUAAAGAAUAAAAAUAUUAAAACUAACCUAAUUACUGAUCCAGAAGAAAAUUGGGAUGACAGUAAGUGAUGAAAGUUUACUUGAGAUUGAAUCUAUGGAGAAAGUACACCCGACAAGUUCAGAAUUAUUAUAUGAAAACGUAUAUUCAGAUUCCGGGGAGGAUAAACGUGACAAAGAAGAAAAACUCAGUACUUUUAAGGGAAAACACACUAGUUUUCAACCAAAAAUACAAAUUGAUUCGCAGAGUUUUGUCAAUAAAUCAAAGGAAAAUUAGGAAAGAAACCUGACAAACCGAAUGAUUUUAAAAGAGACCAGCAUUUAAAAGAGAAAAAACCUCACCGACCCAAAAAAUAUAGACAUACUUCAGAUACUAAUUGCAAAUAAGCUUUAUUUCUAAAUCAAAGCAAAUCAACGCUGUGAACAAGAAGCACGCCACAAUGCUUUAAUUGAACAAGGCAUUCAGGAGAAUUUUCUAACAAAAUAUAACUUGGAUUUGCCUUUCUGCACUAAAGCAGAAUUUGACGAAUUCUGCUAAAAUAUUCGCACGAAUGAUGAUUAUAGAAAGGAAUUCGAGUAAUUGCAGAUACACAUAAAGAUCAAAACGGAAAGUUUAUUACGGAGUCGACUUUUUUAAGUUUACUAGGAAAUGUUCUGAGUAACACUAAGGAUUGGAAGGGAAAUUGAAGGAAGAGACCUUGUUGUACGAACGAUGAUGGCGAGAAAGAUGACUAAUUUGAAGAUUAAUAAUUUCGUCAUAUCUUCAUUUU